AAACAAUGUGAAAACAUAUCAUACCUUUUGUUCUUUUUAAUAUAAUAAUUGAAUUACUAAAUGGAUGGAUCAGUCCUUCUUCCAUAGCUAGCUUCUCUUUAUUUUCUCUGCCCAUAACCUGCAGAAAAUCUCUUUAACCGAGCAAAAUUACAAGAGUAACCAAACAAACAAAAUAGGACCAUCAGAGAGAGAGAAAAGAGUGCCUUUUUUUGGACCUGCCCAUUAGCUUAGAAUGUACCAUGAAACACUUUGUCAGUGUAGGGAGAUAGGCA